AUUGAACGCUGGCGGCAGGCUUAACACAUGCAAGUCGAACGAGUGGCGGACGGGUGAGUAAUGCUUGGGAAUCUAGCUUAUGGAGGGGGAUAACUACGGGAAACUGUAGCUAAUACCGCGUACCAUAGGAUGAGCCCAAGUGGGAUUAGGUAGUUGGUGAGGUAAAGGCUCACCAAGCCGACGAUCUCUAGCUGGUCUGAGAGGAUGACCAGCCACACUGUGACAGAGACACGGCACAGACGCCUACGGGAGGCAGCAGUGGGGAAGAUUGCGCAAUGGGGGCAACCUGACGCAGCCAUGCCGCGUGAAUGAAGAAGGCCUUAAGGUUGUAAUGUUCUUACAGUCGGGAGGCGUUACCGACAGAAGAAGCACCGGCUAACUCCGUGCCAGCCGCCGCGGUAAUAC
rnacentral:rRNA from 1 species